ACACACACACACACACACUAAGCCAGAGGCUCCUGGGCCUUUCCUCCCUGCACAUGCUCUCUUGUCUGCAGCCAUAUUGUAUUACCGAAUCCCAGUCCCAAGAAAGGGCUGAAUAAAUGUUUGCAACUGACUGUGAGUGGAGACAGAAAAAUCCACCCAUUUGGAAAGAAGAAAGCCCUCCCGAACUCAGAGUGACUGGUCCUCCGUGGAGGGCUGAGGCUAACCCCGACACCAUGUGUCUCUGUGGGCCAUGGCAGAGAGGCCUGUGUCCAUCUCACUUCUGCCCCUUCCUCAGCCUCUCUGAGGAACCCAUCUGUACAGUGAGAUCUCCUGAAGGGUUAAAUGCUGUGAUUCAGUGAGGAGGCAUCAUCUGCAGGCUCCAUCACCCUAGUCUGGGGGAUGUUGCCUCUCUACUCCUCAGAAUGUUGUUUCCUAGGCUUGGGGUCAGAGGGUAUCCUAGGAGUCAUCAUCACCUUGUAGGGAGUUGGUCAGAGAGAAGAAGCCUGUGUGGUGACCGUGUAGCUGCUAACAUUUCUGAGUUAUUCCCCAUAAUCCUUUGUCCUGAGGGAAUCUGUGUUGGAGUUCAGUGUGCAUGAAGGGGUCGUGGGAUAGACUUGGGACCCUUUCUCCACUGCACCAGCUCACCUUGGGACCCAGGAUGCUUCAUUCCCUCCCUGAGCUGGGUGGGUGUCUCUGCCCCUGGAGGUGUAUUGUAGCCUAAGUCUAGAGACAGCUGCUGUACACCGAAUAGAGCCUGUGACCCUGCCUGCGGAGUCGGCCUUUCUAGGUCUGCAGAAUCCCAUAAGAGGCCCUGAAGUUCAAGGUGAGUCUCACCCACAUCCAUGGAGCGUCUGCCUGAGUCCUCAAGCUACAGUAGAGCUCAGAAUCCACACUAAAAGAAGGCUCAGCUGAGGUUGCUCAGCAAGGUCAUGUAUUCAUCCAGCAAACAUUCCCAGCUUUCUUAGAGGCACGAGGAGAGAUGACAUCAUGUGACCACCACCUCCUGGGACUCAUACUUCAAGUUCAUUUUAUAGUUCUGGGGUAGAAAACUGGGGACAGUCACAGUCAAAGCAGUGAUGCUCGGAGAAGGAGAGGAGGAGGAGGGGAAGAAGGAGGAGGAGGAAGAGGAAGAGGAGGAAGAAGAGGAAGAAGAGGAAGAUGCCUGUGAGGAUGUCUAAGCUGGUGACAGAAGCCCCCAGAGCUUGUGACCUCUGACCUGAGUCCCCAGGACCAGCUUAGGCCACUGCCUCCUGGGAUGGAAGACGGACCCACCUGGCAGCCAUCUUCAGAACGUUGUGCAGAGUUCCAGAGGAGCUGGACAAGUCAGACCACCCGGAGAACAGGGUUGUGCCUGUUGGCGAGAAGAAAUUCAGUCACCUCACCCCUGCGAGACCGAUAGAAGGCUUGAUGAUUGGCAGCCCAGAGGCAUUCCCUGCCCCUGAAAGCCCCACCUACCCUAACACAGUACCUGGCGGCUGUGAUCUGAGGAUUACAAGAUCCAAGAUAUCCUUGGGCAGCUCCACACUAAGAUAGAAAUCAGUCUGAGGCCACUGCACUAUAAAACAGGGUCAUAAAUAAAGACUGCAUUCAAAUUCUACCCUGAGUUGGCUUGGCUGUAGCCUCCCCUAAGGUUGCUGGCCUUUCUGAACCUGGAUUUACCCACCUGAGAAAUAGGAUCUCAUCUUCUUGUCCUAUGUGCACCUCUCUGUGGUCAGACUAGGAAUCUGGAGCCCAGAGGUGCAAGGCUGAGGUCGAAUGGGCACUUAGAAACUGUGUCCCAGUUCAAAGGACAGUUAAGGGGCUGGGAACUGGGGUCUCUGCCUCCCACGCAGCUUUUCUCAAGAACAGAAAUCAGGAAAGCAUGAAUCCAGGGUGUAACCUGUAACCGCUGUGCAGCCUUGAGCUGAUAAUCAAACCUCUCUGAACCUGUCUUUUUUUUCUCGGCCUCAGAAUGAGGCCAGCCAUAACUAGGGUUAUGAGAAGCCAGUAGAGGGUACCUAUCACCUUUGUAAUAAGGAAGCACCAGCAGCUCAGGUGACAGCAAGGGACAAGCCAGACCCUCACCCCCCACCCCCGCUCCACUCCUGUGCUCCUGUGCUCAAUGGUCGAGCAGAAGCAAUCCCACUGUUCCACAUCACCCAUAAGUCUGAAAAAGAGGCCUUGCCAAUAUGGGGGGUCAAAGUAGGAUCCCCAGGACGUGAGCAAGGAAAAGUGCAAAGUUGGCACUAGCAGACCAGUGGGAACAGGACUAGUGAGCACACACUGAGAAGAAAGGCCAAGCGAAGGAGCUCGCCCGCACGCAGCUGCAGCCCAUGUGGAAAGGGAGGCUCUUCCCUGCGCAGGCUUGCAGGAGUGAGCGAGUGUUUUCUCUGCCCGUCCCAUUAAUCUGUUUGCUGUGUCCUGUUCCCGCCCUCCCACCUCCUGUGCCUGUUCAUCCCGGGCUCACUCCCUCUCCUGAGGGCUCCACGGGUCAUUAAAACCGAAACAAGCCCGGCUCUGAUGGUUAAACCAGAUGCCAGGCGCGUCCUGCCGGCCCCUCUCGGGGUCAGACCGUGGGGGGCCUAGGUUCCCAAGGGGGACGGGCCAGACUGAGGGGAAACCCAACCCGAGACACAUGGAGAUCAUUUGCCAGAAGAAUGGGAUCCGUGACCAGCUCCAGCAGAGGGCAAGGAGGGAGAGAGGGGGUAAGGGCAGUGGGGCCAGGCCAAACUGGGCGCCACCCUGUGCUGAGGCUGGCUCAGCCCAGUGCAGGCUCGUUCCCUCCCCCAUCUCAACCAGGCUUGGCCAGGCCUCCAGGCCCUCCGGGCCCCCAGUAUCAUCUCCAGUGUGCCAAGGAUUGAAAGAAAGCUUUCGCAGCCUCUGACCCCCACCCCUACCUCCACCCCCACCCCAGCAGCUCAAGUCCCUCAACAGAUAGCUGAUACAUAGAAGAUGAAAACCAAGACUCAGAGGGGUCAUGUGACUUUCCAAAAGACAAACAGCAAAUCAGCAGAGGCAUCAGCCAGGAAUUUCCCAGAAGGCUACGGGUGGGUAGCUUGUUCACUCAGAAGGGAUGGAGUGACCUGGUCACCAUUUGCCAAACUGGUCAUGCUGUACCUUCAUGCCCCCUGAGGUGGGUCUCCUGACCAUGGUUGGGUCCCCAUUUGCUUGUCUGUUACCUUAACAACAGUUGUGUUCAAUAUAACUCAGGCCCCAUAAGUUUGGAUGGUGGUUC
rnacentral:sRNA from 1 species